UUUUGGAUGUUUUUAGAGGGCUCUAUGACUGGAAGAGUACUCCCAUUAGCUGCAUUGUUAGCCUCAUACUUUCUGUAUAGUACAAAUUAGAAUACAUAAAAAAAGAAAAAAAACAUGUGUUCUUGUCUGACAUUGAGAUUGUGCAUAAUAGGCUUUUUUUUUCAAAUGUGCAGUUCCUCUUUAACUUCUUUCUAAAUGCCAACAUAUUGAGCGCCCUCUUUUUUUCUUUUUGGACUUGGUGCAACCUGACACCACAAGCAUGGGAAGGGCACAUGCAGUGGGGCCACGUGACACAGUCGGCCUCCCAACUUUACAUGUUUGAAAUGCAGAAGUUGCCCUUUGACCUUGUUCCAUAUGACUCACUGUAUUUUGCUUCAUUGCUGCGGACUGGUUGCACCAGUACUGGAACGCUUUUGACAUGCAGCGCGAUUCCACAAGUGUUGGAUCACAUGCAGGUUUUGUCCUGCAUGCUGGCUGUACAGUAUCUCACCGCAGAGCUCUCGUGGCACUCACGCCAACAUCCAGUCCGCUGGAAUCGGGAAUGGCGUCGUGGAUAUUGCAGUAGUAACCCACGCCCACAAUGCUGAAGCGGACCAAGGCGCCCAUGUAGAGGGAGAGGAUUGGGAUGAGGAGAGGCUCUACGCACUCCAGGUUGCUGUGGAGGAGAAUGGCCACGAAAACGAUCUGCGAGAAGAGAUCCAGUUUCCUGGCGUCCAUCUUGAUGACGGCUGUCGCGUGUCACGUCUACACAACAAAGCAGAGUAACGUAUUAUCUCAAAUAAUGACCUCACCGCAUUAAUAAAUAAACGCC